AUACAGAGACCCCGAGCGUUAUCCGGAUUUAUUGGGCGUAAAGCGUGUGCAGGCGGACUAAUUAGUCAUGUGUUAAAACUCCGAGCUCAACUCGGUUAUCGCAUAUGAAACGGUUAGUCUAGAGGCAGUGAGAGAUUAGGGGAACUUAUGGUGUAGUAGUAAAAUGCGUUGAUAUCAUAGGGAACAUCCAAGGCGAAGGCAUCUAAUUGGCACUGUUCUGACGCUCAGACACGAAAGCGUGGGUAGCGAAUGGGAUUAGAUACCCCGGUAGUCC
rnacentral:rRNA from 1 species